UCGGAGGAAGGUGGGGAUGACGUCAAAUCAUCAUGCCCCUUAUGUCUAGGGCUGCAAACAUGCUACAAUGGCCGGUACAAAGGGCUGCGAUACCGCGAGGUGGAGCGAAUCCCAAAAAGCCGGUCUCAGUUCGGAUUGAGGUCUGCAACUCGACCUCAUGAAGUCGG
rnacentral:rRNA from 1 species